rnacentral:rRNA from 1 species
GAUGAACGCUAGCGGCAGGCUUAAUACAUGCAAGUCGAGGGGCAGCAGGAUUGUAGCAAUACAGUUGCUGGCGACCGGCAAACGGGUGCGGAACACGUACGCAACCUUCCUUUAACUGGAAGAUAGCCCACCGAAAGGUGGAUUAAUACUCCAUAAUAUAACUGAAUGGCAUCAUUUAGAUAUUAAAGCUCCGGCGGUUAAAGAUGGGCGUGCGUCUGAUUAGGUAGUUGGCGGGGUAACGGCCCACCAAGCCUUCGAUCAGUAGCUGAUGUGAGAGCAUGAUCAGCCACACGGGCACUGAGACACGGGCCCGACUCCUACGGGAGGCAGCAGUAAGGAAUAUUGGUCAAUGGACGCAAGUCUGAACCAGCCAUGCCGCGUGGAGGAUGAAGGCCCUCUGGGUUGUAAACUUCUUUUCUUUGGGACGAAACCCCUGUUUCUACGGGGACUGACGGUACCAGAGGAAUAAGCACCGGCUAACUCCGUGCCAGCCGCCGCAGUAAGAC